GAUUUAUUUAUAAAAAAUUUUUCUUAUAAAGAAUCAUUAAAUCUUAUUCUAUUUGACGAUGAAAAAAACUUUUGGGACAAUUUGAUAAAAAGAUAGAAAAGAGGUUAGAAGGUAGAAGAAAAAUAGAGGUUAUGGUUGACGGUCGACGCGUCAAUUCAUUUCAUUUCAUUUUUUUUUCUCGAUUGCCCAUGGAUGGAUCGAGGAGACCAUUGAAGCGGAUUUAAAAUAAUGCAGGAGUCCGUCCCAUCUGUAGAGAUCGUUCCAUUUAAAUAGUGUAUGAUACACAUUAUUAGAUACAACAAAUAUCCAGAGCAGGGGGACGAAGACACUGAUAGAAACCAGAUAUGGCACAAGUAGCAGUUCACAGAGAAUGGAUUUCCUUGUACGCAAUCAAGUGAAUACAAUCGACAAUGCAGAGAGCAAUGAAUGAAUUGAUGAGAGUUAUUAUUAGUUACGAGCAUAAUAAUCAGCUCCAUCCUGAAACAGAUGAAAAGCUUCCUCCUCGGCUGCUUCCUCUUCCUCAGCUUUCUUCUGCAAUUCAUCGUAAGACAUCGCGACAAUAGCAAGAAUCAAGUUGACGAGAUAAAACGAGCCAAGAAAAAUGAUCACGAUGAAGAACAACAUAUGCCAUGGGCCGGCCGAUCUAAGCACUAACUGG